rnacentral:lncRNA from 1 species
AAUGCACUUUAUUAAGUUAACUUAAGUGCUCUGAAUCGACCAGUUUUACAAAUUUAUUAGACCAUAUAUUAUUCGCAAAUGUUUUACAUAAUAACAAGUGACCGUGUGAUGAGCGAAAACAAGGUUGAAAAUGAAAUAGCUAGAAUUAGAGCUGAGAUUAAAAAGCCAUCUUGCGUUUCUGCGCUUCUGAAGGCAAUUUAACAUCGGUGGCUAAACUGAGAGCCUGAAAGAACCGAAUAAGGUACCAAGUUAUGUCUAACUGAUACCAUUCCAGUCCGUGCCUAGCCGAGGCCUCAAAGGCAUGGUGGUUGUUGUGCCAGCUUUCUCCCAUCGUCACUGGUGCUAGCCACCUAUAGACCAUUUCCACAAAUACUCAAAAUUAGUUCCUAAUUAUGGUAUGCACAAGGAUGUUCAUAUCUCUUUGAUAAAAUACCAAAUGUUACGUGAUGUGUCCUUGGUGUUCCAAGCUCUCGAGCCCAAAAUAUGACAUGCUGAGUUUAUGAGCCACGUCCCGUGGUAACCGAUUGCUCCUCCAACACCCUGUUACAACAAAAUGAUAUUUUGUUAUUUUUUUAUGAAAUCAGUUUUGAAAACCUAAAACAUUUAUGAAAAAAUGUAAAGAUGUCCUUUUUUUUACCACGCCGCAAGUUAGGUAAGGUAGACCACCCCAUAUAUAGACGAGGGUCCAAAACGCCAUGACGUGGAGACCAACUGUUUUUUGUAGAAACCUGUAGAACCAUUGCUGUUUCAAGUCCAUCACGUUGUUACGUGCUCCACACUGUUGCAUAAAAUUUGCAUUGUUACAACAUGUACGACGUAGUUUUAGUUAAUCAUAAAUCAAGAUUGAUUCUGGUUUUGUAAGAUAUUUGAAAACGCUGGAGUUACCUUUUCUCUGAGGUAACUGGUGUCGAAUAUCCACAGGACAUGACUGAACCAAAAUCCUUCGAUAGGGCUAUGUGGGUCACGGUCAGAAUCUGUGAACUGGUGAUGGAACCUAUGUGUGCUCACCCAAUCUAUUGGAUGACCCUGCCCAAAAAAAUAACAUUUCAAAUAAAACUGAGGAUGCAUAUUGGGUGUGUUUUGUUUCAUUUUAAUUUUUGGUUUAAGCGAUAUAUACCUGAAGGGCAAAAAGUGCAGAAUAAGCAAAAGGAUAUUCAAGCCAUUUAGGUAGCUUAAAGCUCUUGUGAGUCAAAUUUCUAUGGUACGAGAACGUAAUGCUGAGGUUAGUCACUGCAGCGAGAAUAAAACCGAACAGGAGAGCUUCCCAUUUGUAGUUAAAAGGAGCCAUGACACACAACAAAUGAACGGCCACAACACUUAAAGCUCUCAUUAAAUCGACGCUUGUCCAUUUUCUAAAAAAAUAUGCUCUUUUUUCCUUACGCAUUGCUUUUCGGCUAGAGCCAGAGCCAUUCUCCUUGGUGCCACCCAUCAAGGAUGGUUUGUGUUUUGAGAUUUGGUGAGUUAUAUGGUUGAGCAAAGAUUGUGAUUAUAUAUAUAGCUGAAUGUUGUGGAUAUUCAGAAUCGUAAAGCUGGAUUUGAGUAAUCAUAUCAUAGUUUAACAACGAAAUAAUAAACGUGUACACUUCCCCUCGUGUUUGCCUAGUCUCCAAACGAGGAUUUAAUUUUAAAAAUAAUCAAGCGAUUGGUUGGCUAAUUUUAUUAUUUUCUAAUAGGAGCAUUCGUUAAUGUUUUGCGUAGCGAUCCCGGUUGAUUGGUUAGUCCGAGAACUAAGAGUUAAGCAUAAUAGGCACACGUACAAACCUGGACAUUUGUUUGGUAUUUUAAUAAAAAGUUUUUUCGAAUGCUUUUACGUCAUAACAAUACAGGCAUUUUGAUGCCUCUUAACGUUUAAGGUUUAAGAUUGGAAAAUAUUUUGUACGCGUGAUACGCCAAGUAAUAAUAUCCUUUUGGGUACUAAAAAACAGAAAAUGUGUAAAAACCAAAUAAAAAUAUUUGUUAUAAACAAUACAAAGUUUUUUAUUUGUAAAAGGCUUAACAAUACGAAGUUUUUUUUUUUGCCUAAAUUAACAAUACGAGGUUAGUCUAACAAAGAUGCUCUAUAAAGAAUUUCAUCUGUAUUUGUUUUUUUUGGAAACACAAAGAAUUUCAUCUGUAUAUAUGUGAUAUUAUCUAAACCAAAAGUAUUAACAUACACAUUCUAAAGUUCAUAUACUCGGGCCGCUUCUGUUCAAUCCGCUUCUUAUUUUUCCGGUUACUCAAGUUAAAUUUUCUUGCAAUGCUCUCUAUAAAAACCAGAGAGCCAAAGCAAAAUGUUAUUAAUAUAUGGGCAUCACUAUAAAUUAAUAAGUUUUUAAAUGUAAGCAAUCAUACCAAUACUUAUAUCAGUUUUUUCUACUAAUGUGCAUGAACGAAAUGUAAAUGACAUAAAUAAUAGAAAACGUGGUUAACUACAUUACGCAUAUUAGAAGUUCACGAAAACGAACGUAAUUAAGUAAAUUGGUUCCAACACACAACAAACACCGGAUAACACAAUAUUACAAGUGUCACCCUUACCAAAACCUUGAAACGUACGCAGACAUUUAAAUCAUACUUAAUAAAGACGAUAAGUCGAAUAUCCUCAUUCAACGAACCAAUGCCAUACGACGCCGUUGACUCUCUGAAGGCAGCUUCACGUCAGUAGCCAAACCGAUGAUUUCGAGAAAGCGUACGAUGUACCAAGAGAUGUCGAUUUGCCACCACUCUAGGCCUUGUCUCGCCGACGACUCAAAGGCAUGGUGAUUGUUGUGCCAGCUCUCCCCAAACGAGAAUACCGAUAGCCACCUAGAACCAACAUAUUCAACCACUUUGUUAGUUUCUUCGAAGUUAUAACAUAUCAUUAUUGCUAAUUAAUUGAUGUAGCUUUAAUAUCAUAUACUCCAUCUGUUUUUAAUAUAAAUCGUUUUAUAAUUAUGCACAUAUAUUAAGAAAAUCAUUAAUUAUUUAUCUAACCACAAAUCAACCAAUAAUAAAAUAGAAGGUAUAUUAUCAUUGGUCAUAUAACAUUAGGUGUUAAUAAAUUUUACAUAGAAAAUCGAAAACGUCAUAUAAUUUGGAACAUAAAAAUUUCUCUAAAACAACUUAUAUUAAAAAAAACGGAAGGAGUAGUAAAUUAAUAUAUAUGAUUCUGAAACAAGAAAACAUAUAUGAUGCAUAUUUGUCCAUUUUUAAAACAUGGUAAGCUAAUUGGUUGAAUGAUAUAUAUAUAUAUAUAUUUUAAAAAUUAAAUGAUUAACUAUUAUUAUAAUGUAAUAUAUUUCUAAAUUAUAAAUUGCAAAAAAACAAUUAGCAUUUUUUUGUGUCUCUAAUUUAAUUAUAUGUAAAUUUAAAAAUGUAUCAAACCGUAAGAACAUUAUCAUUGGGUUUACAAGUUAUUUUGAACAUGCUCUAGUAGUACCACCGGUAUACUCGUAUGCAUGUUCCAUCCGGAUGUCUCUCAUGCCCAACUUUAACAGGAGACACCGUAGCUCUUGGCAAAUGUAUUCGAGACAUUGGGUUGUCCGAGCUGAUGACGCGGUAAUAGGUGAUGUUGAUGGAGAAGUUGUGCUACUUAAGGUAUAGUUUUGCUUCUUCCACUCCUGUGCUAAUAUAAGUUCCAUGUAGUACAAUGGAUAUGAGCAAUUCUUUCUAAUGUGGUUUGUUGUAUUUUUUAGAAUCCGCUCUUACAAGCCAAGGAAGAAGAGUUUGUGUAUAGGUGUAUUUCCCAAUUUCCAACAAGUAAUUUAUCCGUUGAGGGAUCUUUCACCUUUGUGCCUGGAAGGUAUAUGCUUCAUGGACGAUGAUGUUUGAUUUAUAAGAUUGCAGACCGCUUAUGCUGUUUAUCUUGUUUUUAAGAUUAAACCUUGUAAUUGGAGUAUAAUUUUUACCAUUGCGUCUUUCAUUUUAUGUAGUUUGCAAGAUCCGAAAGGACCUCAAUUCGAAGUCAACGUCGCAGAGUUUCCUGUGAAGUUACCAGACUACAUCUUCUAAACUCAUCUCCCUCAAGGAGGUUUGUUACUCUUUCAAGAUAAUGCGUUAUAUCAGCUUUUAUAGUUCAUACAUUGUGCAAUGCACUUUAUUAAGUUAACUUAAGUGCUCUGAAUCGACCAGUUUUAUAGUUCAUACAUUGUGCAAUGCACUUUAUUAAGUUAACUUAAGUGCUCUGAAUCGACCAGUUUUACAAAUUUAUUAGACCAUAUAUUAUUCGCAAAUGUUUUACAUAAUAACAAGUGACCGUGUGAUGAGCGAAAACAAGGUUGAAAAUGAAAUAGCUAGAAUUAGAGCUGAGAUUAAAAAGCCAUCUUGCGUUUCUGCGCUUCUGAAGGCAAUUUAACAUCGGUGGCUAAGCCGAGAGCCUGAAAGAACCGAAUAAGGUACCAAGUUAUGUCUAACUGAUACCAUUCCAGUCCGUGCCUAGCCGAGGCCUCAAAGGCAUGGUGGUUGUUGUGCCAGCUUUCUCCCAUCGUCACUGGUGCUAGCCACCUAUACACCAUUUCGACAAAUACUCAAAAUUAGUUUCUAGUUAUGGUAUGCACAAGGAUGUCAGAGCCGUGCCUCGGUGAGAGCAAAUGAAACAUUUGCUUAGGGCAGCAGAUUUUUAUAAAAAAUUAAAGGCAUCAGCUUAG